rnacentral:rRNA from 1 species
UACGAAGGGGGCUAGCGUUGCUCGGAAUCACUGGGCGUAAAGCGCACGUAGGCGGGUCUUUAAGUCAGGGGUGAAAUCCUGGAGCUCAACUCCAGAACUGCCUUUGAUACUGAGGAUCUCGAGUCCGGGAGAGGUGAGUGGAACUCCGAGUGUAGAGGUGAAAUUCGUAGAUAUUCGCAAGAACACCAGUGGCGAAGGCGGCUGACUGGUCCGGUUCUGACGCUGAGGCGCGAAAGCGUGGGGAGCAAACAGG